AACGAACGCUGGCGGCGUGUUUAAGACAUGCAAGUCGCACGGUGUCAUUUUGGUAGCAAUACUUGAAUGGCAUAGUGGCGCACGGGUGAGUAACACGUGAAUUACAUGCCCUAUAGAGGGGGAUAGCCCAGGGAAACUUGGAUUAAUACCCCAUGGUCUCGCAAGAGUAAAGGUGGCCGCAAGGCUGUCGCUAUAGGAUUGGUUCGCGCCCUAUCAGCUUGUUGGCGGGGUAACGGCCCACCAAGGCUACGACGGGUACCUGGUCUGAGAGGACGAUCAGGCACACUGGAACUGAGACACGGUCCAGACACCUACGGGUGGCAGCAGUCGAGAAUAAUUCACAAUGGGGGCAACCCUGAUGAUGCAACGCCGCGUGGAGGAUGACGGUCUUCGGAUUGUAAACUCCUGUCAUCCGGGAGUAAGACCUGGGAGUUAAUAGCUCACAGGGUUGAUAGUACCGGAAGAGGAAGGGACGGCUAACUUCGUGCCAGCCGCCGCUGUAACAC
rnacentral:rRNA from 1 species